rnacentral:rRNA from 1 species
UACGUAGGGGGCAAGCGUUAUCCGGAAUUACUGGGUGUAAAGGGAAAGUAGGCGGCAAGGUAAGCGAUAUGUGAAAGCCUUAGGCUUAACCUGAGGAUUGCAUAACGAACUAUCUAGCUAGAGUACAGGAGAGGAAAGCGGAAUUCCUAGUGUAGCGGUGAAGUGCGUAGAUAUUAGGAAGAACACCAGUGGCGAAGGCGGCUUUCCGGACUGAAACUGACGCUGAGGCUCGAAAGCGUGGGGAGCGAACAGG